rnacentral:tRNA from 1 species
CAGAAAGUAGUUUAAUUUAAAAACGUUAAUUUUGGGGAUUAAUAAUGGGAUAUUUACUUUCCUUUCUGA